GACCCUUCGGGGGCUUCCCCCAGCACCCCGGGGCCCCUCCACCCACUCGGACCUCUCCGGGCUCUGUGAACCCGAGCACCUGUCGGAAUGGCUCGGAGCCUCAGUUUCCUCAGCUGUAAAUUGGAAUGACGAGUACACGAGUGUGUGGCGCCCUUGUAGCCCUCCUUGCUCCAAGGCAGGGAGGAGGGCCGGCAGGAUUGGAACACCGUCCCGGGGCCGCUUCUCCUGCGGGCAGAUGCCGGAGUCCACGUGCUGUCCUUGUCCAUCCUUUAGUCGGUGACAGCUGGGACGGCGGGGGCUUCGCUUCCCCGUGAAUUGGGGUCAUUUAUUUAUUUUAACCCUUCCCUCCCGUCUUAGACUCAAUACUGUGUAUUGGUUCCAAGGCAGAAGAGUGGGAAGGGCUAGGCAAUGGGGGUCAAGUGACUUGCCCAGGGUCACCCAGCUAGGAAGUAUCUGAGGCCAGAUUUGAACCCAGGACCUCCAGUCUCUAGGCCUGGCUCUCCAUCCACUGAGCCACCCCACCGCUCCCUGAAUUGGGGUUUUAAAAAGCAUUCUUGAGCCCUCACCUUCCAUCUUAGACUCAGUACUGAGUAUUGGUUCCAAGGCAGAGCAGUAAAGGGCAAGUCAUGGGGGUCAAGUGACUUGUCCAGGGUCACCCAGCCAGGAAGUAUGAGAGGCCACAUUUGAACCCAGGGCUCCUGGCUCUCUAUUUUUGCCACCUCCUGUGAUUGUACUUGAGUGAGCAGAGCUGCCUGAAGGCCAUGCUAGCUGGACCGUCCAGUCGAAGCCCUCUCUGUUAUCAAAUAGCCCCAGAGAGCCCAAAUCCGACGCGCUUCCCACAGUGCCGCCCUCCUUCAGCCAGUUGUCGCGGAUUCUCUUCUGGUGUUUGGGAAGCCGGAGCGCCAUCUUUACUCUUUAGAGUGAUUUUGCCUUUGGAUUCCCAUCCAGCGCUUGCUUUUCUCCUUCCCCCCCCCCCCUCUCUCUGCCUCUCUGUCUCUGUCUCUGUCUCUGUCUCGCCCUUUCUCUCUCUCUCCCUCUCUCUCUGUCUCUCCCUCUCCCUCCCUCUCUCUGUCUCUCUCUCUCUCUCUCUCUCUCCCUCUCUCUCUGUCUCUCCCUCUCCCUCCCUCUCUCUGUCUCUGUCUCUCUCUCCCUCUCCCCCCCCAUCUCACAGCCAAAGUCUCUCUCUAUAUCUCUCUAUCUCACUCUCUCACACACCCUUUCUCUCUCUCUCUCCCGUCUUUUUCUCUCUCUCUCCCUCUCUCUGUCUCUCCCUCUCCCUCCCUCUCUCUGUCUCUGUCUCUGUCUCUCCCUCCUCCCAAACCUCAGAGGGAACCAGCUGCCGGAGGGACCAAGAAAGGCUUCUUGCUGAGGGUGAUGUUUUAGCUGAGACUUAAAGGAAGUCAGGAAACUGGGGAAGUGGAGGGGUGGAGAGAGUUGAGGGGGGAGGGGGCAGAGUGAGUGAAAAUGUCCAAGGUGAGGAGAUGAAGGAGGCCAGUGGUAUUGGGUCCCUGGCACAUGGGGAGGAAGGUCUAAAGGAAAGGGACCAAGUUCUGAAGCCAAACUGAGGAUCUAUUGGAUCCUGGAGAUCAAGAGGGUUGAGCACUGGAUAAGUAGAAUUAUCAGCGGAGAGACAAGCACUGAAACUAGGACUGCUGAUGAGGCCAUAAAUGAGAAAGUGGAGAAGCAGAAAAGAAGAGGAGCCUUAAGGGGGCACCUACAGUUAGUGAGUGUAACCUGCAAUGAGACAGAGAAGGAGUGGUCAGACAGGUAGGAGAAGAAACAAGAGGAGGCUGUUUCUUAGACCUAGAAAGAAGAGAGUAUCCAGGAGGAGGAGAAGACUUACUGUAUGAUAUGCCUCAGAGGCAGGACUUGUACCCAGAGAAUCCUGCUAUGAAGAUGGCUCUCUAGCCAUUAUGCCUUGUUGCCUUGCAUGCUCAAGGUGACAGGUGAUAAAUACCAGGGUUUUCUCUGGGUGCAGGUGUUGAACUCAGGACUUAUAACUCCAGAGCCAGAGUAAUGUUUAACCUCUCAUGACUUAGAAAUAAGAUAUUUACAUCUCAACUCAGCUACUUCCCAGCUGCUUUAUCCAUCAUCUCUGUAAAACCUCAGCUUGGAGUGAUGUCGAUCGCUCACCCAGACUCUAGUACUGUCUUGUUUUGGGUGGAGGCUGUGUCCCUGAGGGUGCCUGGGAUUGACCCUAGAUUUCCUGGGAUCAUGCCUAUGAUAUCUGCUAAUGGGGGAAUGUGAAGUGGACUGAGAGGGAAGGAAAAUAGUCUAAGCUCUCAGGCUGCAGUCUGGCCCAAAUGACCUAUUUGUUUCCCAAACCUGCCAUCUGUCUCCCUCCUCCAUAUCUUUGUAUAGCUAUACCCUAUUUCAGGUAUACUCUCCC
rnacentral:lncRNA from 1 species